rnacentral:lncRNA from 13 species
AUACCUCCCUCUAGGAAUCACAACCUAGUAAUUACUAGUGGGAUCCCCCUUAAUGCUGGCUGUAGGAAACAUUGUAAAAUUUGGGAUGCUCUAUGCAUAUGACCUCAUAUCUCAAAAACCCCAAUGAAAUGGGUACUUAUGGUAGAUGAUGUAGGUACCCUCCAUAUCCACGAGGCCCACACUGACCAUAGCUUGUAGCCAUGUGUGGUAACCACUACCCACAUGUGGCUACAAGUACCUGACAUAUACAGCUAGACCAAAUCAAGAUAAGCUAUGAGUCUAAAAUACACACUGGACUUCAAAGUCUUAGAACAAAAAAAAUGUAAAAUAUCUCAAUAUUUUUAUAUUAUUUGUUGCAAUGGUAGUUUUGAUAUAUUGGAUUAAAUAUGAUACAUUAUAAAAAUUAAUUUUGGCCAGGUGCAGUGGCUCAUGCCUAUAAUCCAGCCGUCUGAGAGGCUGAGGCAGGAGGAUAGCUUGAACCCAGGAGUUUGAGGCCAGCCUGGACAACACAGUGAGACCCUGUCUCUACAAAAAAUGAAAAAUUAACAAGGCAUGCUAGUAUACACCUAUAGUAUCAGCUACUUGGGAGGAUGAGGUGGGCAGAUCAUUUGAGCCUACGAGGACAUGGCCACAGUGAGCAGUGACCACACCAUUCCAGCCCAGGAGGCAGAAUGAGACCCUGUCUCAAACAAAAAAAAAAAUCAUUUCAUCUGUUACUUUUUACUUUUUAAAUACAGCUACUAAAACACCUUAAAAUUACAUUUGUGGCAUGAAUUUGUGGGUGGUGUUAUAUUUCCAUUGAACAGUGCUACAUUACAUAUUCACGUCUAUACUAGAAAGCUGCUUACUUUGAACAUCUGUGACUCCCUGCUGAGAGCGUUUUCCCGGCACCAGAUACAUGACUGGCCUAUGCAAAAGAGAAAUCAGUGCUGAAGAGUUAAUGCCCCCAGAAGCAGCCUUCAACCAAUGAAAACAAGGGAGUCGAAACCUAAACAGACUAAUAUACUAUGUCAUGAGGUAAACCUGUGGAGAGGCUCAUUUGGCAGGGGACUAAGGAUUUUCAAGAACCACAGGAGCGAGUUUGGAAGCAGAUCUCCCUCUGCACAAAACUUUCAGAUGAGACCUAAUCCUGGUUAACAGAUUGACCACCACCUACUCAUAAGGAACCUUGAAGCAGAGACACACAGCUAAGCCAUACCCAGAUUCCUUACCCACAGAAACUGAAAUAGUAAAUGUCUGCUGUAAUAAGCUGCUAAGUUUUGCUGGUAAUUUGUUAUGCAACAAUAUACAACUAAUACAUGCAAGCAACAUGCAAUGUCAGGAGACUAGGUAAAGUGGCUAACAAGAGUCAGCCCCAAAUGUAUUUCAAUUAAAAAAAAAAGAGCCAGGGAGAAACAAAAUGACAGAGAUAAGGAGGCAAAAGCAGGGAACAGCCAACUCACAAGGCAAAUGGGAGGCUAUCUUUGUGAAUCCCAGAAUUAGAGGUCCUAGAUUAGGAUUGGACUUCAACAUGCUGCAGAAUGAAAUGUUUACCUCCAAAUAUGCAUAACCAGUAAGGAAGAUGGUAUCUGAGUUUGGGUUACCCCAGAUGGAGGUGCUGAGAUAAGGAUUCAAGUGAAAGUACGUAAUUUGGAGGUGAUCACAGAAAAUAUCACUAAAGGAAAAGCAAAGCAAGGAAGGAAAGAGAAGAAAGUCAAAAAGAAUGUGUUAUUGUGCAAAUUAUCAGUGCGAGCAACUGAACUUCAAUGCCACUGGGAGAAGGGAAUUCUGGGAGAUAGGAUAGAGCAUGUAUCUCAGUUAUCUCAUCCAGGGGUAAGGGAACUGGGGUAUUUAUCCACCAACUCUGUCAGUCAUUGGUAGAGGUAGGGGAUUAAUUCCCAGCACCUAUAGCCUAUGAAAACAUAGAGAUACUAGCAAUUAGAAGUUAGCCAGUGUGCCUAGACAUAGUAAGUACCAAGG